rnacentral:rRNA from 1 species
AGCCUGAACGCUGGCGGCGUGGCUAAGACAUGCAAGUCGCACGGUGUAGCAAUACACAGUGGCGAACGGGUGAGUAAUGAAUCGCUAAUGUACCCCGGACUCUGGGAUAGCUACCCGAAAGGGUAGGUAAUACCAGAUGAGACCACGAUCAGGCAUCUGAUUGUGCUACAAACGGUCCGCCGGUCUGGGAGCAGGCGUAUUUCGAUCAGCUAGGUUGGUGAGGUAACGGCUCAACCGAAGGCGACGACGCGUAGCCGACUGAGAGUUGGCCGCCACAUUGGGACUGAGACACUCGCCCAGACCUCCGUACGGGGGGCUGACACGUAACGAAUCUUCCGCAA